UCAAUCACUGCUUUCACUUCUCUUAACCAGGGUGCCCAGUACACGGGGAGCAGUGACUAUCAGGACUCUCCCUCUUACUGCACUAAACUCUGCCAGCUUCUUUUCCAAGGGAGGGGGAGCGACCAACCAGACAGGAUGAAAAGUAGCAGAGGAGGAAAGUUUAGAAGCCGGCGGGAUUUCUUAAACCGGAUGAGAACUCACAGUUAUACUGUGCUCAUAGCUACCUGCCAUAAAUCCGGCACGAAGCAGCUGUCUCCUGUGAUUCAUGCUGGGGAUACAUCCAGAUCAAGAACUGCAAAGCCCAGGAGCACCUCUGUUUGGACAGCCACUUUCCUGGGAGGAAGAGAACAAACUGUGAAAACCUUCUAAGUGACUGCUAGGGAAACUUCUCUUCGAGUGCAUCCUGGAAUGAUUUCCCAGCUGUGCCACGAGAGGAUUUCUAAAUCAGAUUGGAAAAACACAAGGGUUGCAAAUCUGCUUAGCAUGUACGGUGUAGGGCACAGCGAAGACAUUUCAUAAACAGAGAAUUCAUUGUUCACAUUCUUCAAAAGGCUCACGGUAGCAAUGAAUAAUUUAAGAUCGAGAGGGACAAAAGAUCUGAAGCAAGAGUGCUACCAUGGGCUUGGAAUAAUACCUAGUACAAGCAUUCAGGUUUUGUCCAGUGCAAUUUCAGAUGUGAUAUUCAAAGAGCAGUAUGAGUACCCUUCCUUUCACACAUGUGACAAGGGAAGUUGUUUGCUCUAUCAGCUAGCAGGCCAGUGGCAAGGCUGAGAACAGAGCCUGCAUGUGUUCUGUGUCUUUUCGGACCCAUGAGUCAACAUUUUUCAACGACCACAAAUGAGCCUAUCUCCUUUCUACUAAUGAAUUCAUGUAUGAGAGAAAGAGAGAGAAAGAGAUGAAAAAAUAUAGGGAGGAAUGACCUUUAAAACAGUCAGAUUGUAUGAAAAGCCCAUUUUCAUCUUGUUCUACCCAUUUCCUCACCACUCUCUCAGGCUGAAUGGCUCCUAGGGGAGAACGGAAGCCAAUAGCUUUCCCUCAAGCUGCAAAAUGUGAAAUGUCUGCACAGACCUACCCAGACGUCCACAGGGAAAUAACUACGGCAUACAUCCUGCAUUCAGUUAUUGCACAGGCCAGCCAUGGUGGUAAUAAAGCCCUGAAUCUGUGCAGGAAAACAGAUGGCAUCGGAUGUAAUAAAUAUGACAAAUGGCAUGGAGGCUCCUGAAGAGUCACAGCAUAGAGAAUGGCUGCCAGCAGCUCCUGGUUCAAAUAUCUAGUAUUUUUCAAGUCUGAGUUAAGCCCUCUAACUGGAGAAAGGAUAAGACACGCACAGAGGAUGAAAAGCAAAAAAACAAAUAGCCAGCAACAAGCCCUAGAGGAAAUAAAAUCAGAUCAAGACUUAUGCCACGGAAAGACAGCAAACACUGUAUCAGGCAACUCAAAUCCUAACCCAAAUCACUUCUGCUGUCUUGUGUUUGAGUUCCACAGGGUGGGAAAGGUGCCUUGGUGUAACUUAGGGAGCAGUUACUAACAGAAGCAUCAUUGCUUUGAAGUGCUCAGAGUGGUGUGCUAAUGUCAGUAGCUACCUCUAAGGGCAGACCCUCACUACUAAGCAACUU